AGUUUACAUUAAAUGAAAGUUUAAAUAUAUAAUCCUUUUCCAGAACUUGAGAGGCCAAAGCAGGAGAAUCACAAGUUCAAGGCCACCCUGGGCGGCAUAACAAACUCACACUCUUGAAUCCUAUGCUGGAAUCCAUUUAUCACCAACAUGAAGAGCUGGUGGGCCAGGAGGAUGUGGAGGAAGAGAGAUAACAACAAAACUCUCCCCAGGAAAGACAGAACUUGCUGGUCCUCGAUUUACUGCAGGGAAGAAAGAUACCCUGCGGAGGGGCCAUGUGCUUCAGUCAAGUUUCUUGAGUUUCUUUUUGUCCUCCAAUUGGAAUUUUCAUUUGGAAUAAAAAUUGUCUUCUCAGCUAAAAAUAAAGUUACUCUAUGAAACUUGGUUUUGUUUUGGAUUUUUUUUCUUCUUGAACCAAACCUGAGAACCCUGCUGUUAAAUGGGAGAGGUGGAGAUGUUUAACAGGGCCAAAUUUGGGAACUCCUGGGUGCUAAUCAAAAUAGUAUUAAAAUAAGUUUAAAAACCAUCUUUUUACCUCUAUUCUGAAAAUUGACCAUGGUAUUCAAAUUGAAUGGCUAUCUCACAUAGUAGCUGGUAAUUUUGCAAACUAUAUAUAUGAGCAUAUUUUCUUCUUCAGAUUCCAUGUUUGUUCAGAUUUCAUGUUUGUUUUCCCUUCAUUUUCUUAUUCCAAUUUGACAUAGUAAAAAUUAGAGUUCCUUUUCUCCUAAUAGUUUGCCAGGUCGAACUUCCAACGACUCGCCUCAACAGCCACCAACUAACAAGGAUCUGGUAAAACAAUCGAAAGUUUGCAAGAGAUGAAUCCAUAGUUUAUUUUACACAGUAUGUAGAGGAAUGUUUCACCCAUUGUUCACACAUCUUUAGCUGCCUUUUAUUUUCUCAGAUCUGUUCUCAGGGCUCCUUGUAAGGCCAGACUUUUAGUCAGACUGGCAGUCUGACUAAAAGACACUACGCUGCCACUUACCACUAUGUGGGCAAUGUCACGCAUAUUUGCCACUCUCUAA
rnacentral:lncRNA from 1 species